rnacentral:rRNA from 1 species
CCUACGGGAGGCAGCAGUGGGGAAUAUUGCGCAAUGGGCGAAAGCCUGACGCAGCGACGCCGCGUGAGGGAUGAAGGUCUUCGGAUCGUAAACCUCUGUUAGCAGGGAAGAACGGUCACUGUGCUAAUCAGCAGUGAAUUGACGGUACCUGCAAAGGACGCACCGGCUAACUCCGUGCCAGCAGCCGCGGUAAUACGGAGGGUGCGAGCGUUAAUCGGAAUUACUGGGCGUAAAGCGCUCGUAGGCGGUAUGUCAAGUCAAGUGUGAAAGCCCCGCGCUCAACGUGGGAACUGCCUUUGAAACUGGCAGACUGGAGUGUGGGAGAGGAUAGUGGAAGUCCAGGUGUAGGAGUGAAAUGCGUAGAUAUCUGGAGGAACAUCAGUGGCGAAGGCGACUAUCUGGCCCAUAACUGACGCUGAGGAGCGAAAGCGUGGGUAGCAAACAGGAUUAGAUACCCUUGUAGUC